AGUGAGGAUGGUCAAGUGGAUGUAGUUGUACCCUUGAUUCCGAUGGCCUGGAAGUGGAUACUCCGCUAGACUUACCCUUUUGCUUGUCCUCAAGCAAAACAAACAAGCAUAUAGGACCUAGUAACUGCUCUAUGGGCGGACAUCGUUGUUGCGCAGGAUCAAGUUGAGCCUGUAAGACUUUCUGCUUCUCCUUUAUAAGGAUGAGUGGUACCACUCAAAUUAUCCUAAGGAGUGAUUUAUACUCUCUCAAAUAAGAGGUCUACUUAGGGAUCGAAUUCACAGGGAGCUAGGGAACCUAAGAAAUCU
rnacentral:lncRNA from 1 species